AGAGCGAACGCUGGCGGCAGGCUUAACACAUGCAAGUCGAGCGGGCGUAGCAAUACGUCAGCGGCAGACGGGUGAGUAACGCGUGGGAACGUACCUUUUGGUUCGGAACAACCCAGGGAAACUUGGGCUAAUACCGGAUAAGCCCUUACGGGGAAAGAUUUAUCGCCAAAAGAUCGGCCCGCGUCUGAUUAGCUAGUUGGUGAGGUAACGGCUCACCAAGGCGACGAUCAGUAGCUGGUCUGAGAGGAUGAUCAGCCACAUUGGGACUGAGACACGGCCCAAACUCCUACGGGAGGCAGCAGUGGGGAAUAUUGGACAAUGGGCGCAAGCCUGAUCCAGCCAUGCCGCGUGAGUGAUGAAGGCCCUAGGGUUGUAAAGCUCUUUUGUGCGGGAAGAUAAUGACGGUACCGCAAGAAUAAGCCCCGGCUAACUUCGCGCCAGCAGCCGC
rnacentral:rRNA from 1 species